UACGGAGGGUGCAAGCGUUAAUCGGAAUUACUGGGCGUAAAGCGCGCGUAGGCGGUUUGGUCAGUCAGUUGUGAAAUCCCAGGGCUUAACCUUGGAACUGCAAUUGAUACUACCAAGCUAGAGUGCAGUAGAGGUAAGUGGAAUUUCAGGUGUAGCGGUGAAAUGCGUAGAGAUCUGAAGGAAUACCAGUGGCGAAGGCGGCCCCCUGGACAGAUACUGACACUCAGAUGCGAAAGCGUGGGGAGCAAACAGG
rnacentral:rRNA from 1 species